UCGGCUUAUACUUUAGAUGUACUUACAUCCUUGUUUA
rnacentral:tRNA from 1 species